rnacentral:piRNA from 1 species
UCUGACAGAUUGAUAGUAUAGCCCGUUGA